rnacentral:piRNA from 1 species
UGGAGCAUCUUUUGGAAGGCUAAGCCUC